rnacentral:rRNA from 1 species
UCAAGCGAACAAGUGCAUGUGGUGGAUGCCUUGGCGAUUACAGGCGAUGAAGGACGCGGUAGCCUGCGAAAAGCUUCGGGGAGCUGGCAAACGAGCUUUGAUCCGGAGAUGUCCGAAUGGGGAAACCCGGCCCGAAUGGGUCAUCCCUGACUGAAUACAUAGGUCAGGGAAGCGAACGCGGCGAACUGAAACAUCUAAGUAGCUGCAGGAACAGAAAUCAACCGAGAUUCCCAAAGUAGUGGCGAACGAAAUGGGAAGAGCCUUGUACUCUUUAGCAGAAUUGUUAGCAGAACGGGAUGGAAAGCCCGGCCAUAGCAGGUGAUAGCCCUGUAUGCGAAAACAGUUUUGUGGAACUAGGUGUACGACAAGUAGGGCGGGACACGUGAAAUCCUGUCUGAAGAUGGGGGGACCAUCCUCCAAGGCUAAAUACUCGUAAUCGACCGAUAGUGAACCAGUACCGUGAGGGAAAGGCGAAAAGAACCCCGGGAGGGGAGUGAAAUAGAUCCUGAAACCGCAUGCAUACAAACAGUCGGAGCCUGGCAACGGGUGACGGCGUACCUUUUGUAUAAUGGGUCAGCGACUUACAUUCAGUGGCAAGCUUAACCGAUUAGGGAAGGCGUAGCGAAAGCGAGUCCGAAUAGGGCGUUGAGUCGCUGGGUGUAGACCCGAAACCAGAUGAUCUAUCCAUGGCCAGGUUGAAGGUGCGGUAACACGUACUGGAGGACCGAACCCACUAACGUUGAAAAGUUAGGGGAUGAGCUGUGGAUAGGGGUGAAAGGCUAAACAAAUCUGGAAAUAGCUGGUUCUCUCCGAAAACUAUUUAGGUAGUGCCUCGUGUCUCACCUUCGGGGGUAGAGCACUGUCAUGGUUGGGGGGUCUAUUGCUGAUUACCCCGCCAUAGCAAACUCCGAAUACCGAAGAGUGCAAUCACGGGAGACAGACAUCGGGUGCUAACGUCCGGUGUCAAGAGGGAAACAACCCAGACCGCCAGCUAAGGUCCCCAAAUAUAGCUAAGUGGGAAACGAAGUGGGAAGGCUAAAACAGUCAGGAGGUUGGCUUAGAAGCAGCCACCCUUUAAAGAAAGCGUAAUAGCUCACUGAUCGAGUCGUCCUGCGCGGAAGAUGUAACGGGGCUAAGCUAUAUACCGAAGCUGCGGACGCACGCAAGUGCGUGGUAGGAGAGCGUUCUGUAAGCCUGUGAAGGUGUCUUGUAAAGGAUGCUGGAGGUAUCAGAAGUGCGAAUGCUGACAUGAGUAGCGAUAAAGGGGGUGAAAGGCCCCCUCGCCGUAAGCCCAAGGUUUCCUACGCAACGUUCAUCGGCGUAGGGUGAGUCGGCCCCUAAGGCGAGGCAGAGAUGCGUAGCUGAUGGGAAGCAGGUUAAUAUUCCUGCACCGUCGUAUGAUGCGAUGGGGGGACGGAUCGCGGAAGGUUGUCCGGGUGUUGGAAGUCCCGGUCCCUGCAUUGGAGAAGGCGCUUAGGCAAAUCCGGGCGCGGAAUUCAAGAGUGUGGGGCGAGCGGCCUAGUGCUGCGAAGCAAUUGGAAGUGGUUCCAAGAAAAGCCUCUAAGCUUCAGUCAUACGAGACCGUACCGCAAACCGACACAGGUGGGCGAGAUGAGUAUUCUAAGGCGCUUGAGAGAACUCGGGAGAAGGAACUCGGCAAAUUGGUACCGUAACUUCGGGAUAAGGUACGCCCUGGUAGCUUGACUGGCCUGCGCCAGAAGGGUGAAGGGGUUGCAAUAAAAUGGUGGCUGCGACUGUUUAAUAAAAACACAGCACUCUGCAAACACGAAAGUGGACGUAUAGGGUGUGACGCCUGCCCGGUGCCGGAAGAUUAAAUGAUGGGGUGCAAGCUCUUGAUUGAAGUCCCGGUAAACGGCGGCCGUAACUAUAACGGUCCUAAGGUAGCGAAAUUCCUUGUCGGGUAAGUUCCGACCUGCACGAAUGGCGUAACGAUGGCCACACUGUCUCCUCCCGAGACUCAGCGAAGUUGAAGUGUUUGUGAUGAUGCAAUCUCCCCGCGGCUAGACGGAAAGACCCCAUGAACCUUUACUGUAGCUUUGCAUUGGACUUUGAACCGAUCUGUGUAGGAUAGGUGGGAGGCUUUGAAGCGUGGACGCUAGUUCACGUGGAGCCGUCCUUGAAAUACCACCCUGGUUUGUUUGAGGUUCUAACCUUGGCCCGUGAAUCCGGGUCGGGGACAGUGCAUGGUAGGCAGUUUGACUGGGGCGGUCUCCUCCCAAAGUGUAACGGAGGAGUUCGAAGGUACGCUUGGUACGGUCGGACAUCGUACCUAAAGUGCAAUGGCAAAAGCGUGCUUAACUGCGAGACCGACAAGUCGAGCAGGUGCGAAAGCAGGACAUAGUGAUCCGGUGGUUCUGAAUGGAAGGGCCAUCGCUCAACGGAUAAAAGGUACUCUGGGGAUAACAGGCUGAUACCGCCCAAGAGUUCAUAUCGACGGCGGUGUUUGGCACCUCGAUGUCGGCUCAUCUCAUCCUGGGGCUGUAGCCGGUCCCAAGGGUAUGGCUGUUCGCCAUUUAAAGAGGUACGUGAGCUGGGUUUAAAACGUCGUGAGACAGUUUGGUCCCUAUCUGCCGUGGGCGUUGGAAUCUUGACGGGGGCUGCUCCUAGUACGAGAGGACCGGAGUGGACGUACCGCUGGUGUACCUGUUGUCUCGCCAGAGGCAUCGCAGGGUAGCUAUGUACGGAAGAGAUAACCGCUGAAAGCAUCUAAGCGGGAAACUCGCCUGAAGAUGAGGAUUCCCUGGAGGCUUGACCUCCUUGAAGGGUCGUUCGAGACCAGGACGUUGAUAGGCUGGGUGUGGAAGCGCAGUAAUGCGUUAAGCUAACCAGUACUAAUUGCCCGUAAGGCUUGAUCCU